rnacentral:lncRNA from 1 species
GACCAUUCUCUACCACUUGUUGUUCGUUCUUAUGAUAGGUUGCAACAUAAUGCAUAUUUAUCUUACAGUUUUCUGAUUUCAGAUCCAAAUUUUUCUGUUGAACCUAUGUAAUGCCCCUUUAUGUCUAUAUGGAUGAAGAGUAAGAGGACUGACUUUUAAAUUAACAGUUUGUUACUUUAACAAUUUUUGCAUAUAACAGUUAAAAAACUAAAAAAAAUUCUUAUGUCAUUAUCAUUCUUUUGGGCUUUGUUAUUUUAUAAAUUUAACAGCUUGGCGGUUGAAGUUGAUGAUUACUGACAAGUUAGUAUAAUUUGUUGGAUUAUUUGAUACGUUUGAUAAAAGUUUCUUUUAAGGCUUUAAUGGAUGUUGUCUUUAUUUGCAGUGUUGAAUCUUGAUCUGGUUUGAAAGUUGUCAUGGAAGGUCUAGAACCUAGGUAAACACGAAUAGUUUAUUUUGUAAAAAAUUAAAUAUUUUUAUCAGUUUUUGGAACAAGAGUUAAGACAAACGGUUGUAUGUUGAUAAGGGGCAUAAUUUUUAGAAAAGGGCAUACUGGUCCUUUUUUGGUUAGUAUUACUAUUAAAAAUGGCAAGUUUGGUCUUAUGCCGCUGGAGUGGUUUCGUUGGAAAAAGAUAGGAAAAAGGAGAAAAAAUGAGAGGACUAUUAAGGGUGGUUGUAUGUUCUGGUGUAGAAAUAUGAAUAAAGGGAAAUUGGUCACUUUUUGGUUUAUGUUGCAAGUUAUAAGUUUGAUCAUAUGUUUUUAUGGUUCUGGGUUGGUUUCGCUGGAAAAAGAAAGACAGUAGAAGAAGGAAUAAUGAAUGAAGGGAAAAUUAAAGGGCACUUUCGUCUUUACCUGUUAAUCUUGUACUAUUUUCAAUGUCAUGUGGAGAAAAAUUACUUAUUUUGUUCGAAUUAGUAUAAGUAAGAGAAUUGAAGGGUAUCAGCUGUCUUUUUUUAUUAUAAAUUCAAUAAUGAAAGAACUUUGGAUGAAGGUUAUAAUUUAUGUAGUCCAAAUAAAGGCUUUAUGUUGGGACUCAUGCGUUAUACAUAGGGUAAUACAUAAAAGAAAGAUUAAAUUUGAUGUUUUCUAAGUGGAGUUGUACUUUAUACAUGUUUGAUUUAACUAAGUGGAGUUGUACUUUAUACAUGUUUGAUUUAACUGCUAUUUGCAAAAGGAGGAAAUUAGAUUGGAAAUAUAAAAUUAGAUGGUUUUUUAUGAUCUGUACUAAUCAAAUGAUUGGUACCAUGUGCUUACAGGCUUUUAAUAAGAGUUGGUUUUGGAGAGUAACAAAAACAAUGGAAGGUUGAAAGCCUCUUUUCAUUUGUUAAACAAAGUUGCAGUGAUGUUUUUGGAAAUGGCAAAAUCAAUGUUUACUAUGGCAAGAAGCUUCUGUUGAAUCAACGUGAUCAUCUUCAGAAUUUUAAUAAAAAAAGAAUCGACGUCUUUUAUGCGGUUCAAAUUAUAGAUUUUUAGUUUGUUGGUUUUAUCUUUUUUUUUCCGUCAAAAAAUAUACAAUAAAAUGCAAA